AGGAAGUGAGAUUCUGAUCCCAUUAUCAGUGUCAAAUCCUUGGAGUUAGAGUUGCCCAAGAUGGUACCUGAAUCCUGCUGUCUGCCUUGCAGCUACAAAAUACUGCUAGCACAGGCUCAGAAGAGAUGCAGAGGAGAUCAGCCCAGUCAAGGUAGUCAUGGACUUGAAUUCUCUUUCUCUCCCCUCUCCUGCCUCAUCACUCCUUGAGGCUUACCCCAAACCUGUGUUGCUGCUCUUUGGGCAUAGCCAUGUGACAACAGCUAUGGAUAUAAACCACUGCUUUUAGCCUCCUUUUGGCUGCUUCAUCGAUUAUUAAUUAUUAUAUUAUUCAUAUUGUGUCGAUGCUGUUACACCAGUCAUUGAUAUUAUUAUAUAAAUUAUUCCAAACAUGUAUUUUUUCUUUUCCAAACUUGAGCAAUAGAGACAAAUCCAGUGCUUCUUCAAAGACAGAGGAGUCCCUCUUGACAUCAUUCCUUAUCUGUAACCCCCUGCUGACCCCCAGCACACUUCAACCUGUAGAGAACAAAUAGCAGCAUAACACUGACCACUGUCCCCAGAGCAAGGGGAAAAUGAACAGCAGCAGCAAAACCUCAGACCCAGCCACCUGCUGUGAAUUCAAGUGAAACUGUUUUAGAGCAUAUGAUCCCUCUGUCCUUAGGUGUUCAGAGAGGGAUGCCUUUGAUAUAUAGCACUGAUAAGGGGCUUAUUCCAUUAAGCCACAGUGAUUCUCACUUUCAUGCAUCAUUUGACAGAGAAAAUGAGAAUUUGCAGAAAUAAUAGCUAAUGUAAAGUAGAUCAUGUCGCAGUGCAGUUAGACAGGUAGGAAAUAAAGCUUAUGUAUGAUUUCAUAGAGUGGUUUGCACAUCUUAUUGUAUGUGCACAGAAGAGAUCCUUUAGGGUUGUUUUUGUUCCAUAUAAACUGGUAUGAACAUUGGGUUUGGAUCAGGAUGUAUCCUCUCAAGAGAGGGAAGGGUUUCAGUUUCACAUAAAUAUUCUUACACAAGUCAUAAAGAUUAAAUUAAAACUGGAUGAAGAAAAGGAAAGCUGGAAACAGAAGCAUGAGGAAAAUAAAAUGGUAGUUGACUUAAAUAAUAGCUUCCUAGUUCCACAGCCUACUUACAUUUUCAGACACACACAGGCACCACCUUAAAGCUGAAGUAAUGCUUCUGUGACAUUUUUUUAGGGCUAUUUCAAAAGCUUCUCAAAGUAGUUCUCACCCUGCUAGCUGAAGCUCUCACUGAAGAGGGAUUUCUUCUCCAUGCAUUUCUACUUAUGGGAGGAUGGCAUUAUAAAUAUUAGGAAAGUGUAUUUUAAUUACAUCUUUGAUUCUCAAGAACAAAUUGACAAUGGUUAAAUCAUUUGUUGCACAGUGAGUUUUGAAAGUCACUUGCAGUGGCAAAAUACAUCACAGCCUAUUCAAAUUUUCAAGAUUUUUGGCCACAUCAUAAGCUCUAAGGUGGUGGAUAUUUUAUUCCUGCUGCACUUCAGUGCAUCCAUAACUUGAUGGCCCUUGUGAGCAAUAAUGUGAGUUGUCUAGCAGAAGAACCAUUUACUAUUAUUUACAAAACUGCUUCCACAAGGAAAUAAAGUGACUAUGGCAGCUUCUGUAAGGAAGGAAAUCAUAAGUGCUAUUUCAAAUUGUGGUAUUUGCAUAGUUGUGCAUAAGAAAUUAGGGGGGUGGUGUUAGGAAUUUGAUUAUUUCCCACACUUCAAGAUAUGAAAGAAAGGAGGGACAAAAGCUGCAUUCCAGCAACCCAUGCUCUUAAAGGAAGGAAAUUUAGCUUAAGGAAAUUUAGUUUUUCAUGGAUAUGCCUCAAGUUUUUUUACUGAUCCUCACAGUUUCCUGGAAACUUUUCCUAUACUCAGAAUGUUUCAUCUGGACCAAUAAACAAUCAAAACCUUUUAAAUUUAUUUGAAAGUUGGUUUUCCCCUCUGCAGCCCUUAAAUAGAAGAUACAAAGGAGAAAAAACAAAGUAGGAGUGUGUGUGUAUUGGUUCAGUAAGUGAAGCAGUGUCCUGGGACAUGUGAAACCAAACUGGUCAGUGUGGUUUGGAGGGAAAGGUUCUUUUCUAAGCCCAUGGAGAUAACACCAAAACAGGUGAGUUAAGGGACUCUGCUACAUGCACAAGCAAAGUGAACAGCCAGCUUGUAAAAAGGACAUGCAUUUUUCAUCAAAAUUUAGUUAGAAACUUCCAACUGAUUGUUAUUUUUGCCAUAGAGAAAACAAUAGAAUACUUUAUUACUUCUAUAAGAUUUUCUUUACUUCAGUCCUAACUGUGAAGAAUAAGCAAGUUUAUAUUAAAAUAUUGUCAGAUUUUCCAAAGGUCUUGCUCCUUUGUUUAUAAUGACCUGCUUACCUCUAAACUUAACACACAUUGGUGUUGUUACUGCUCUCAAUGCUCUGUUCCCCUUGCUAGUCCCACACACUGUUGUAUUUCAGAUACAUGCAAAGGCUGAAAAUACCUCAUUGCUUUCACAGUAAGGAAGAAAUUUGCAAGUGGUCAUGGAGUUCUAGAGUUGCAGCCUUUGCUCUUUUAGAUCACUUGAUCCUCUGAGGAUAGCAGGGAGCAGUUGCUCGUUCUUCCUUUUUAAACUUUGAUUGAGAGAAAUACCCAACAAAGUGCUAAUUCUGAGACCUGGGAAAGUCUGUGCAGCAUCACUAAUUUUGCUUUCCACUGCUUCCUUUGCUGAGUGUAGCUUCCCUUUUUCUGCUACUUCCAUGUUAUGACAAAUAACUCCUACAUUUCAAAACUCUGGUUCUCAUUAUACAUGACAGUGAUCUGCAGUACAGAACUGAUUUAUAGACCAUGUAAACAAAAUAUAGGAGCUCAAGGUAUGGUAGAAAAUGGAAGAUCAUUAGAACUCAGUAGAAAAAAAAGUGCACAUCUAAAUACUUCUUUCUGUACUUGCCUUGAGGCAAAGUUUAACUAUAUUUUUUUUAGCUACUACAUUAUUUGGUGUAGCAGAAACCACUAAGAGAAAUAGGGAGAGCAUAACAGAAGAAUAAUGCAAGUCAUCAGAACAGUCAUAGGUUUUUACUACUUUGUAUACUAAUUUUAGAACACUGCAGACAUCAUUGCUUUCCUAGGUCAGCCAUGUGCAUCAAAUAUGCUGUAAUAAAUUUUUCAUAACUUCCCAUUCUGUUGCUCACAUAACUUCCUAGUAGCCAUCAUAAUCUUGUCUUUAAAACAUAGCAGUAUAAUCCAGAACUGUGACGAAAAUGUUCUGAAUCUUUGACAAGGAAGUCACAGUUCAACUUCAUGUUCGAAAGCUAAAUAUUUUUAAUGGCUGAUCUGAUCUUUUUUUGCAGUGUUUGAGAAAACUGUAGAUUAAACCCUCUCUGUUGUUCUCAAAUGAGGUGACCUAACUAUGCUUGUACAAACAAGUUCACACGACUCCUGUGAUGUGAAUUCCAACCCAGUCAAGAGGAUCCCACAAACUGUGCUAGGAACCUACUCCACUGUAAAUACCACUGUAAAUACCAUGACCUAAGGAAAAGGGUAUCUUAUUCUUCAUCUCAGAAUCCAGCCUGAGAUGUGAUCAAAGAACUGAAAAGUACCUCCUUAUGUUAAGUGUAAUGGACUGAGUACAGUGUCUUGAUAAAGGUUCACUCAAUUGCUGUGCUCUCCUUAAUGACCAGGAAAGGACACUUUCUUCAAGCUUUGUAGAAGGGAUUUUGAAAAUUGAGUUUCUGUCCACAGGAAGUGAAACUUCUUUUGAACCAGAAAUACCCAUGAAAUCAUUUCAGUGCAGUCAGCUCAGUCAUCACAACCAUUGUUUAACAGAGAAGACACGUGCAUUUUCUCUUGGCAUGGUUUAUGCAUAAAUUCAUUCUGAACCAAUGAAGUUUAUUGGUAAAUACUCCAAAUUUACUUUCUUGUACUGCUUUUUAAAGUACUCAGAAGCAUGUACUGUAAAGACUGCAUGAUACAUGCUAAGAAUUUGUAGCCACAAGGCUACUUUUUUAAAGACUGCUGACAUAAAAGUAAUGUUUUUUUUAGGUACCAGACUAAAAUGAAAAUUUAAACACCUUUUUUCUACAGGAAUAUAAAACAAUCUCUUAUUUUCUUACAGUGGAGUAUUUUCAGAGGAAUCUGUUGUAGGAAAUAAUGAUUUGGCUGUCGUGGACAAUAAGGCAAACUCAGAGGCUGUAAAACAGACAGUCUUCCAAUAAAGCCUGAACUGGUACUUGCAGCUGGUUUAUGGAGACUGAAAACAUGGAUUUUAUGACUCCUCUGUUGCGUGAGCUGGGUGUUGGCCAGUGACCAAAGGGAAUGUCCUCAUGGGCCACUGCUGCAAUCAGUGAUGCUGCAGCACCAUCUACAGGCCCGGCUGAGGCUGAGGCACGAGAAAGGAAUUCCAGUUUCCCCCGCAGAGUAAUUGUUAGUUCCUCUUUGCACUACUACAUACAAGUACUUUAGUUAUGGAUAACCAAAGGACAGCCUGCAGAGCACCUCAUCCCAGUGAAAACUCUUCUGCCUGCUGUGUAACCUGAGCAUUUGGGUGAGUGCCAGAAAGGUGAGUCCUGUUUAUACUCAUCCUUCAGUCCAGUAUGAUUUACGUGACCAUUUCAGUGCAUGCUUAUUUUCAGUCUAAUGGAGGAUUUAAGACACUGUACAAACCCUUUUUUCCCCUUUUAAUGCAAAUUCAUAAUAUGAGAAAAAUCUUCCUUCCCAGAAUUUCUUUUAAAGAAUCAGCUCAGAGGUAUUUUGGGUUUAAGAAUACUUGUAAGAAGUUCCUGUUUUGAAGCACCUUUUACAUACCAAAAUUUUGCCCUUUUAUGGCCCAUUCUGCUGAAACCUGUCCAAACGAGACAGUGCAACUGCCUGACAGUGGCAAAUAUAUGACAACUUGUUAAAUAUCUCCUAAAUUAAUCCUUCUUGACUGUCAGGACUGAAUCCCUGGGGUCUAGCAAAAAGGUGAAGGAUUUGUCAGGAAGAAUAUAGUUUAGAUAUUCUCUCCCAGGAAAGUAAAAAUGACUUUAAAUUUUAUUUAACCCUGCUCUUGGCAUCUUCUCAUUAUUUUAGGAAUGAAAUGUGAUGGUAUGGUUUUGAAACAGUUAUGCCAGAGGACCAGACACCUUUGCAUCUGGAUUUGCAGAUGUCUUUGGCCAAGUUAGAUAAUGAGAGCAGCUGGACAUUCCAUGCAGGUACUUUGGCCCUUGGAGAGCUCUCACUGGAGGAGAUUUGCUUGAACAGGAGGAGGAAUAGGGAGGGACCUUAACCCCCAGCCCCAUUCUGCUGCUGAAGGGGCAGGAAAAGAAGACUGUCUCUUCAUUGCUACAAGUGACUGAGUAUUUUUAAACUUAUCAAAUAGAAAGAUGAAUGUCCUGCUGCAUUUUCCUUUGUGUUAAUACACAAUUCCUCUGGAAAAGACUUAAAACAGAAAGUCAAGGACCUGUGAGCUUGUACUCAGGUUCUCCAUGGGAACAGAGUGCAUAUUCUUUGUACUAAGCAUAUUCCUUGUACCAAGCACAAGGAACAGUGGCUGAAAUUUUGAAGCGCUGCUCUUUGGAGCAUUAAUUCAUUCUACAUCUGUUUCAAGGUGGGUAGGGUUGUUUCUUAUAGAAUAUCAAGAAUAUGAAACCAUAUUUUAUGCAUAUUACUUAGUUUUAUAGGUUCUACAUUUAUAGCACUGCCUUGAACAAGUAUUUUUAUAACUUUGAUGUACAAAUCCAUGUACCUGCAUAGAGCUGCUUCAUGUUAUUGAUUCAUUUUCAGAUUUUA